UACGUAGGGGGCGAGCGUUGUCCGGAUUUAUUGGGCGUAAAGAGCUCGUAGGCGGUUUGGUAAGUUGGAUGUGAAAUCUCCAGGCUCAACUUGGAGGGGUCAUUCGAUACUGCCAUGACUAGAGUUCGGUAGGGGAGUGUGGAAUUCCUGGUGGAGCGGUGAAAUGCGCAGAUAUCAGGAGGAACACCCGUAGCGAAGGCGGCACUCUGGGCCGGAACUGACGCUGAGGAGCGAAAGCUGGGGGAGCAAACGGG
rnacentral:rRNA from 1 species